GUGAUGAAAUGCCUUGUGCUACCAUUUUACUACAGUAAAUUUGUUAUUACUGGUUAAUAUACAUUUGCCGUUUAUGAAGGAGUCAGAGUCGGUACAUUUCCACUGACUCCGACUCCACAACUCUGACUCCACAGCCCUGAUCAAGAUCAUCAUCCAUCUAGCAAGAGAACAGUAAACUUCACAUGUGUUAAUAAAAUCCUCUCAAAGAGUGCAAAAUUAAAUGAAUUAUUUUAAAGUAAAUGUUUCAGAGACCAAACACUAAAAUUAAUAGGAUGUAAUCAACACAUGCAGAUGCUAUAAGUGUUAAACUUUUUGCACAUUUCUCUUUCAAAGAGUUCUAUUGUCUUACUUACCUAUUUCUGGUGUUCUUUUUUUAAGACAUUGGAGGUCUUAAAAAAAAUUGCCUGUACUCUUGGUGACAGAAGAAAACUUUUGUUUUAUAAAAUAUUUCAUUUAAACAAAGCUUAAUCUUUUCCUUUUUUUCUUUGAAAAAUUGCAGAUAUCUGAAUAAAUAUCUGAUGCAAAGUAUGAUUAUCGUAGAGAAAUUACCUGUUCAUUGUCUUACUAUACACAGCAUCCGUAGGUGUUUCUCCCAAAUCCAGCUGCUGAAUGAUAGUAGAGGACUGUCGUCAGGGUUUGACUUCAGUAUGGACUGUAGGAUUUCAAGAUCAAUCUCUGCUGCUUUCAGGUGCCUUCUCAGCCUUGGUAUUUCUAUUAAAAGCGCACUCUCGGAUACCUCAUCAUAGGAAGUGGUCAAUUUGGAAUGGACACCUUUAACUCUUCUUCAGUGGCAGAUAUGAGACUCUUCGCUUGAACAACCUCAAACAUGGCUGCUAUUUCCUUGAUGGCUCUUGAUCUGAUCUGGAGUUCAGAAUGAAAGCGAUCAAUGCACUCAAGCAUCACCCUCUUAUUUUCUUCUUGCAGAUUGUUCUUUGCAAAAAGAAGCCCCGUUGUGAACAUUUGAUGAACUGUGGCCUACAGCAAUUAUGUGACUCCGCAGCAGAUCUAGCAAGAGAUGCCGCUCUUUGCUGAAGGUGUGUCUGCUUUUGGAUCAAGCCGUGGCACAAACCCCAAUGGAGGAAAAGUGGAGAGAUGCUCUUUGAAAGAACACUGGCCAAUAGUCAAAUCCUAUUUGAAGGCUGCACACCAGCCAGAUAAUCAUCUCCAGGUUUCAGCUUGUAUCCCAGGAGCCAAGAACUUAAAAUGUGAACUCAUUAAGAAGAUGCGAUAACACAAUUCAUUGUCCAAACUCUUUCUUUGGUUUCUCUCAGAGCCAACCACGAGGGGUUUUUUUUCAUUUUGCUGUGCGUGGCUGGGGUAUAGAUUGUCAGGGACGUGGCUUGUUGUCUGGGAUGCUGCUGCUGUUAACUCUGCUAUUGUUUCCUUUUGUGUCUGCGCUGUGAGCUCCUAUUGUUGAGACUGGUACGUUAUGAAGCUCAGGGCAGGGGAAUGCACUUCGGAUGCCAAAUGGGAAGAGAUUAGAGAGAGGCCAAUUUUUACGUUUCCUAGUCUAAUUUUGGAGGGAUGGUAUUUGUAUUGACUGCAAACUUGUUUCAGGCCGAGGAAAUAAUUGAGGCAUGUGAAGGGUUCAUUCCUCUAUAGUCUGUCCAUUUAAACUAUUUGUUGUGCCAUUGGCAUAAAUAAUGUCGAGACAGACAUGUAUAUAUAGUAAUCAGGUGGGAAUCCGUUCACUUGAAGGAUCACCUUGCCCCAAAUGUGCCCACCCGACCACUUUGAUCUAUGGAACUGGCACCUUCACAAGUGCCAUAUAGUAUUCUCCUGCACUUGUGAGGGCCCAUUCUUAUGGUGGGGCUGCACCUCUGCUCCGCAACUUCCUGCCUAUUAAGAAUAGGCAGGCGCCUUUGUUGUCCUGUUUUCAAUGCCUGCUGAAACCUUUUCUGUUUAGGCAAGCCCUACCCAGACAUGUCAUUUUGUUGUGCCUGAUUGUCUUAAAUAUGCGCUGGCUGGGGCUGAUAGGAAUUGUAGUCCAAAACAUCUGGAGGCCACCAGGUUGGCAAAAGCUGCUUUAUCCUCUCUGUCAGAUCACAGGCAGAUGUACUCGGGGACAGAGUCAACUGGAAAACAGUUCUGAAGAACUGACUCUUUGCAUCUCGAUACUGUUACUGGAUAGACCAGUAGAAUGACGGCUGAAUGACACACCUAAGUGCUUAUUUCAUUUUUAUUUACAACAGCUUAUCCCACCCUUCCUCCAAGGAGCUUAGGAUGGUGUACAUCACAGCUGGGUACCUAUGGCCUAUGGCCCAAUCUAGGCCCCCUGGGGGGGUCAAAUCUGGCCCACAACGUGAAUUUUCAAAAACCUUACCCACCUGCCAAUCAGCUGAUGUCACUCCGAUGAGGUGUGAUGGUAGCUGAUGGGUGGGGUGAAGGGUUCAGUUCUGCACUGGCUGUGUAGGCUGUGUGCAACCGUUCUCCUGCUGGGAAGUGGUGUGUGCAGUCAAAGCAGCAGGAUUGACUGAGUGACACAGAGAGCUGAUUGGCCGGAGAAAAGGAAGCUGAUUGCUCAGUGAACAGGAAAAUGACAGAAAUGCCUUUACAAGCCUCUGUAAGUUCAAGAAAGUAUAAAAUAUGUAUGGAACAGGAAACAGUAUGCAGCUUUGAGAUCUGGGGGGAGUUUUUUAAAAAACUUGCUUGACAUUCUCAUUGGGAGAGCUGUGCCUAGUUCUAAUGGACCAGCCUAGGCUGACUACACCACACUGGUUCUCCUGAUUAUAAGGAUCCAUGUAGCUAAUUUCCCUUUAGAGUAAAAUUUAAAAAAUAUUCUAACUUGCUGCCACCCCAGACCCCUUUUGCAGUCUUCCUCUUUCUAAGUUUGUUCAUUAGAUUACAGGUGACCAAAAGAGAACCGGAUAGAGAUCACUUGUGCACUGACUAGCCAAGAACAAUACUCUCUUUCUCUUUGCUGGAGCAUAGCUGGAAAGAAGAGCUCUUUCCUGAAUGGCUUGGCAAUACUGAUAGCCAGUGAAGGAAAUCUUAAAAGCUCUUUGGGUUGAUGAGAAUUGCCCCAGCUCUUCGGGUUUCCAAGUUCUGGAGAUGAUUAAUUUAUUUAGCUUUUGCUUUGAAGAAGUAUUAGAGAUGCAGAAUGUGAUAAACAGGUUUUUGCACUGCAGCUCAUUCAGGGCUUCUUAAAGGGAAAACACACCUUCUUUGGUGUGCAAGAGAAACUAUGGAUGCAAAUUAUUUUCAAAAUAAAACAAAAAC